rnacentral:rRNA from 13 species
AUAAAGGUUUGGUCCUAGCCUUUCUAUUAGUUGACAGUAAAUUUAUACAUGCAAGUAUCUGCCUCCCAGUGAAAUAUGCCCUCUAAAUCCUUACCGGAUUAAAAGGAGCCGGUAUCAAGCUCACCUAGAGUAGCUCAUGACGCCUUGCUAAACCACGCCCCCACGGGAUACAGCAGUAAUAAAAAUUUAGCAAUGAACGAAAGUUUGACUAAGUUAUACUAUAACUAGGGUUGGUAAAUUUCGUGCCAGCCACCGCGGUCAUACGAUUAACCCAAAUUAAUAGUAAUACGGCGUAAAGCAUGAUUAGGGAAUAAUAUAAAUAAAGUUAAAUGUAAAUCAAAGCUGUAAAAAGCUCCUGAUUAACUUAAAAUAAAACACGAAAGUUACUUUACCACUCCUGAAUUCAUGAUAGCUAGGAUACAAACUGGGAUUAGAUACCCCACUAUGCCUAGCCAUAAACUUAAAUAUUUCUCAACAAAAUUAUUCGCCAGAGAACUACAAGCAACAGCUUAAAACUCAAAGGACUUGGCGGUGCUUUAUAUCCAUCUAGAGGAGCCUGUUAUGUAAUCGAUAAACCCCGAUAUACCUCACCAUCACUUGCCAAUACAGCCUAUAUACCGCCAUCUUCAGCAAACCCUUACAAGGAAUAAUAGUAAGCCAAAUUAUUACCAUAAAAACGUUAGGUCAAGGUGUAGCCAAUGUGAUGGCAAUAAAUGGGCUACAUUUUCUAUUUUAAGAACAUAUCCCUACGAAAACCCAAAUGAAACCAAGGCUAAAGGAGGAUUUAGUAGUAAAUUAAGAAUAGAGAGCUUAAUUGAAUAAGGCCAUGAAGCACGCACACACCGCCCGUCACCCUCCUCAACUACUAGUAUUACUAAAAAUAUUUCACUACAUAAACGUACUAGAGGAGACAAGUCGUAACAAGGUAAGCAUACUGGAAAGUGUGCUUGGAUAAUU